CUUCUAAUUCUUUGAUGACUUUUAGUCCUGCAAUCAGAGCCUCAUAUUCUGCUCCGUUAUUUAUGACGGGGAACUUGAAGCACAGUGCAUACUCCAUGAUAACUCCAUCUGGAUUGACCAAGAUCAGGCCCGCGCCUGUGCCUGACAUGUUGGAGGAACCAUCCAUGUAGAGGGCCCAAGAACCAUCAGGGAGAUAGGCUCUUUCUUCGGGGGAGUUCGGUCGGG
rnacentral:lncRNA from 1 species